rnacentral:rRNA from 1 species
CAUAGUUUUGGUCCUAAACUUACUGCUACUUUUAAUCAAAUUUACACAUGCAAGCAUCCACACACCAGUGAAAUACGCCCUAACACAGUAUAAAUGGAGCAGGUAUCAGGCACAACCGCCAGCCAAAAACACCAAGCUUUGCCACACCCACACGGGCCCUCAGCAGUGAUAAACAUUAAGCAAUAAGCGAACACACCAAACUAAAGCUUGACUUAGUUAUGAUUAACAGGGCCGGUAAACCUCGUGCCAGCCACCGCGGUUACACGGCGGGCCCAAAGCAGCAGACUCUCGGCGUAAAUAGUGGCCAGAAUAAUUACCCCCACAUUAAAAACUAAACCAUACCCUAACCGUAAAACACAGGCUAAAUGAAAUCAAGCACUUUUAAUAACAGGUAAUUUGACCCACGAAAACUAAGAAACAAACUAGGAUUAGAUACCCUACUAUGCUUAGUCGUUAAUAUGAUAUUAUAGUACUAAAAUAUCCGCCAGAAAACUACGAGCGAAAAGCUUAAAACUCAAAGGACUUGGCGGUGCUCCAUACCGACUUAGAGGAGCCUGUCCUAUAAUCGAUACCCCACGCUAAACCCCACCAAUCUUUGCCAUACCAGCCUAUAUACCGCC